UCUUAUUUGGUGCUUCAACUACAUUAGUUCUGAUGCCAACCAACAUUCUAGGUCCCCAAGGUUACUGAGCCUGUACAUCGGUCGUUAAACCGGAUCCCUAAUAUCAAGUGUCCAUUGAGUUAACCAUCAGUACUGGAAUGUACAUGACUUCAUUUCUGCACACCAUGUCUACAACAAUCCAUGCUUGCAACAUUGUUUGGAGAGUCUCUGGUUCUGCCCAUGAUUGGUUGUCUCUCUAAUAUUAUCCAUGGCCCUUGUUCUGUCCAACUCUAUGGUUCUGCCCGUGGCCAUGGUACCACUAGUGUGAGAUGGGGGAAAACUCUAGUUCUCAACCCACUCCAAGUGCUGUUAUUUAUU